CUCUCCCAUUGACAAGUAAAAGUAGGGCAGGCAAAAUACAGUACCAAGCAAGAUGUAUGGAAAUUGAAGACACAAAAGCUGGAUUAAUUUUGAACUAUUUUAAUUGGACUUCUUCAAUACAGUAAAAUUAUCAACAGUGAAUAAUUUUAAAUUAACACUAAAAUUAUUGUAAUUAAGUAUACAUGAUGUAGUGGAGUAUGUGUUAACUUAAUUCAGGGGUGGAUUAAUAGGGAGGGUGCACACCCCUGUUGGCCUUGGUCAACAGGGGUGCAAUAAAAUCAAAUUCAGAAACAUGGCAUAAUUUCCAAGGUUUUCCCUUUUUUGAAGUCAAACUGAAGCUCAUAAUUCAAUGUCCAUAUCACAGGAAAUAGCAUUUCUACGGAUCUAAUUUUCAAAAUUUUCUGGGGGCAUAUCCCUCAACCCCCUAGGGAGCUUGCACCUUUAGUGCUUGAGUCGUUUCGCUCCCACCAAAAAAUUUCUCUCCCCCUAAAAAAUUAUAAAGAAACACUUGGCUGCUCACCCAUCACCCCCUAGAAAAACCUUGCUGGAUCCACCCCUGAAGGCUUUCAAGUAAUACUGUAAUAGCAGGCAGCGCAGUACUUAUCAUAUCAUGCAAAUAAUUAUCAUAUUUAAUUGCACAGAUCCCAUAUGUAUAAACAAACACGAGCAUGCAAUGCAUUGUAGUUGACAAUGAUUCUUUAAUUUAAGUAACUUAAUAAUAAACAAGGUUUAUACUUUUAUAAGUUAAUUAUCAUCACCAUCAUAGACAGAUUUUCAAAUUUUGCUUGGGGAGUGUGGGU